rnacentral:rRNA from 1 species
CCUACGGGUGGCAGCAGUGAGGAAUAUUGGUCAAUGGCCGGAAGGCUGAACCAGCCAUGCCGCGUGAAGGGCAGGGCCCUAGGGGCGUUAAACUUCUUUUGUGCGGGAGCAAAAAUGGGCACGUGGGGCCAGACGAGAGUACCGGACGAAUAAGCAGCGGCGAACUCCGUGCCAGCAGCCGCGGGAAUACGGGGGAUGCAAGCGUUCUCCGGCUUUAGUGGGGGUAAAGGGUGCGGCGGCUGUGAGGUAAGGCAGCGGGGAAAUGCCCCCGCUCAACGGGGUGAAGUGCCAUUGAUACUGCCUUGCUGGACUGCGUCUGCCGUGGGCGUAAUGUGUGGUGUAGCGG